AUCAUCUGAAAACUCCUCGGCACAGGUUAGGGUUAUCUCUGGGCAAAGUUCAUAGUCACUGUCAGAGUCUGUGCUGGAAGCCGGGGGGCUGACAGGCCUGGCACCUGGAGGAGUGGAUGAGUCUGCCCGUGUCAGGGGCAGGCUGCAGCUGAGGUACUUCUGGACUCUGGCAUUUUGGUGACUAGAGUUCAAGCCUUCUUCGUUAGGGCCCUCAGGGUGUAAGGCACCAUCUGUUAACCUUGGUACUUUGGAAUGCACGGUCCUGUGGCCACACACAUCUUGUUUAUCAGGAGCAUCACUUGAAUUAGGAAAACGCAACCCGUCAGCAACACCCUCUGUGUUAGCAGCAUCACCAGCCUCUUCGGUUUGCCUCGUGUCUUUAACCGCCAAGGGGUUGUCAGAGCCGGAUGCACCAGGGUCAUGGUCGGCCGAUACCUGGAGUGAAUGAGCACCGCUGGAUUUGGAGGAGGGGGCGUCAGCUGAUGUGGGAGGCCCCAAGGCGAUACCUUCUCCUUCCUUAUAAGGAUGCUCUUCCUCAUCAGUGUGGUUUGGGCUCUCCUGCUCAUAUGUCUUCGUGUCGUGUUUCCAACCUGUGUGCCCGUCAUCUUUCGGGUUGGGAGAGAGUGGUCGGUCCUCUGACGCACACUGCACUUCAAUGGAAGCAGAGCAGCAGAUCAUCCCAAAACAGUUCUGAGCAGAGACUUGAUAAACAGCAGCGUCAUUCUGGGUACAGCUAGGAUGAAGAGAGGAGACACACCAUGAUCCGUCUGCUGAACGAACCAGCUACCCUGAAGGUACUAUGAUUCAUGUAGGAAGAAGAGAAAGGAAGAGAAAAAAAUGAGCCUGAGAGGCACAAAGGACAGGUUGUUGCAGAAUAUUGAGCAGAGUUCUCCAUGCUAUACAGAGACACUGGUUCGAUCCCUGGUCCAGGAAGAUCCCACAUUCCAUGGAGCAACUAAGCUUGUGAACCCCAGCAACUGAGCCCACGUCCUACAACUACUGCAGCCCGAGUACCCUGGAACUCACCCUCCACAACAAGAGCAGCCACCGCAGCGAGAGGCCCAGAAACCACACCUAGAGAAAGCCUGCAUGCAGCAACGAAGACCCAGCGCAGCCAAAAAAUAAAAACAAAUAAAUAUGUAAACCUUUUUUUUUUUUAAAGAAUGAAGCAAUUCUGUAUGUACUAAUAUGGAAUAAUCUCCAAAAUACA